GACGAACGCUGGCGGCGCGCUUAACACAUGCAAGUCGAGCGAGAACCAUUCUUCGGAAUGGGGACAGCGGCGAACGGGUGAGUAACACGUGGGUAAUCUGCCCUCGAUUCUGGGAUAGCCCGGGGAAACCCGGAUUAAUACCGGAUAGCCUCUCGAGCUUACGAGCUCGUGAGAAAAGGUAGCUUCGGCCUCCGAUCGAGGAUGAGCCCGCGGCGGAUUAGCUUGUUGGUGGGGUAAUGGCCUACCAAGGCAACGAUCCGUAGCUGGUCUGAGAGGACGAUCAGCCACACUGGGACUGAGACACGGCCCAGACUCCUACGGGAGGCAGCAGUGGGGAAUCUUGCGCAAUGGGCGAAAGCCUGACGCAGCGACGCCGCGUGGGGGAAGAAGGCCUUCGGGUUGUAAACCUCUUUCAGCAGGGACGAAGCCACUCGGGUGAAUAGCCCAGAGGGUGACGGUACCUGCAGAAGAAGCCCCGGCUAACUACGUG
rnacentral:rRNA from 1 species